rfam:Brachypodium distachyon strain Bd21 chromosome 1, whole genome shotgun sequence.
CAGGGUACCCAUUGACCCUCUUUAGUUCAACCAAAUGAACUAAAAUUUCAGAAUGACACAACUUUUUGGAAAAGUAGUUCAUUUGUUUGAACUAAGGAGGAUCAACGGGUACCCUG